rnacentral:sRNA from 1 species
UGGCCUGCCUCCCCAUUCCCUCUCAGGAGCUCGUGCCCAGAUGUACCCUGCUGAGGGACCUGCUAAUGAUACUCUGACUUUGUAGGUUACGAAAGUCACCUCUUGUUUUAGCAAACCCUUUAAUUUCAGUUGGCAAAGAGUGACUGAGCCAGAGCCUCAGCACGGGGGCUGUUUGGGCUCCCUGCCCUGUGUGCCGUGAGCACGCAGACCUGCCUGUGGAUGCUGGCCCUCUCCUUGGCCAUCCUCUUAGAACUCUUGAGACAGAGUUCAGCGUGCCCUGUAACACAGAGCCAGGCUUCUAAACGGGAAGCAGGUACAGGCAGGUUAGAACUGGCCUGGUGCCUGGAUCCCUUCAUCCCCAGAGGCCAGGUGCUCCUUGAAAGAAACUUGCGCAGCCUUUUCUUCUACCAGUUACUGUUUAUCUGCUCAGCACCCCAAGGAACGAGCCCAUGAUCUGUCCCAGCUCUCAAAACAAGUAAACACUGGGAUGUAGCCUCCCACAUUUGUACUUCUAAACGAUCUGGUGUCUUGCUGGGAGAGAGUCCCUACCUGGCCGGCUGGCAGAAUUGUGGUGACUGACAGGGACCAUGAGCAACACCCUCCUCCAGAAUCAGGGGAGCCGAGGUCCUACCCCUACCCUCCCAUCAAAGAGCAGUUCCCAGACAUAAAAUUCACACACCAUACAGUUCACCCCUCUAAAGCCUGCAAUUCUGUGGUUUUUUAGGAUAUUCACAGGGUUGUGCAGCCAUUGCCACUGUCUAAUUUUAGAAUAUUCUCCUCGUCCCAAAAAGAACCCCCACCCCUGCCCUGGACCCAUUACCAGGGGUUAGGCGGUGGUUCCCAGCUGGAGGGAGGGUGGGACAUGAAGCGUCGCGGGGUCUCCUUCCCCUGACCUUCAGAAUCCAGGCUUCCGGGAGGACCACAGCAGGGGCAUUGAUCACAAUGACCCACCUGUUCUAGACAUUAAUGAAGUAGGGGGAGAAAAGACAGGUGCCCCCAUCCUGGAGGGCUCUUCUCUCCUGAAACACUAGCUGCUUUGCACUAUGGUGGGCUUCAGGCAUUACACUUUCCACCAAGACCAUGGAGAGCUUUCCACAUUCCGUCCCUAAGAGACAUCCCUGGGCUCUGUCCUGUCUGUCCCGCAGUGUCUGUGUCUGAUGAGGCCCGCGCAGAAGUGAAUGGCCUGAAGGCCUCUCGCUUCUUCAGUCUCGCUGAGCGGCUGAAUGUGGGUGCCGCACCUUUCAUCUGGCUCUUCAUCCGCCCUCCGUGGUCGGUGAGCGGAAGCUGCUGCAAGGCCGUGGUUCACGAGAGCCUCAGGGCAGAGUGCCAGCUGCAGAGGGUGAGUCUGGGCGAGGGGCAGCACCUGCGAGGCCACCUGCAGGGUCCCAGGACACAGGAAGACCCCGAGGGUAGAUCCUGGACCCUGGAAAGUCAGGAGCCUAAGGGAAGUGAAGAUGCAGAAAACUGAGAGUGCAGAUAUGGGGAACGCAUCUGGAAAUUAGCUGGCACAGAGGAGGAAGCCUGAGAGCCAGGGUGGGCUGUGGAGUUCUGGGUACACGUGCUGACAGCUGGAAACAUGGGGCUGAGGCUGCAUGGGGCAGUGGGAGCUCAAGACACAAAUCUGGCCAGGUGUGGUGGCUCACGCCUGUCAUCCUAGCACUUUGGGAGGCCGAGGCUGGAGAAUUGCUUGUGGCCAGGUGUUCGAGACCAGUCUGGGCAACAUGAUGAAAUCUCGAAACCUCGUCUCUACAAAAAAUACAAAAAAGUUAGCCAGGGGUGGUGGUGCAUACCUAUAGUCCCAGCUACUCAGGAGGCUGCGGUGGGAGGAUCGCUUGAGCCUGGGAGGUUGAGCUUGCAAUGAGCCGUGACUAUGCCAACGCACUCCAGCCUGGGUGACAGAGCAAGACCCUGUUUCCCUUUAAAAAAAAAAAAAAAAA